AUUAAGCUCCACAAGCGCCGUGUGUUAUGGGACACGUGUCAUUGUACGCGUCUUUCUCUUUCUCCCUCGACGACUCUGUUUCCACUUUCCCUCGAUGACUCCGCAAGUCUCUUUCUCUCCCUCGACGACUCCGCGUUUGUCGAUUGAAUCUUCGAGGUAUCCGCGUCGUUCUCCGUUAAAGUCGACGGCUCCACUUCUCUCUUUCUCUCUCUCGGCGGCUCCACGUUUCGCGAUUCUCUCCGUCGAUGACUCCGCCUUGUUGUGGUGAAAUCUCGAGGACUCCGCUUCUCUCUUUCUCUCCUCGAUGAAUCCCCGUUUCUGUCGUGUUCUUACCCCGUCGAUGAAGAGCCAGCCUCUGUCUCGUGAUCUUCCCCCGACGAUGAAGACUCCGCCUCUGUUCUCUCACUCGGUGGAUCUCCUCAGCUGACUGCGAGGAAAUCAAAUCGAUAGAUGGAAUUAUCAACAGACAUGAAGGUUGGUUAAAGAAGACAACCGCAAACAGAGUUUUCCUUGCAAGUAGAAUCAGAUAUUGCUCCUUAUCGUGGUCUUCUGCUGGGUCUUUUCUUCAUGACGGUUGGCAUGUCUAUUGAUCCGAAACUUCUUCUCUCUAACUUCCCCGUCGUAAUUGGGACUUUGGGACUCUUGAUAUUGGGCAAGACUAUAUUAGUCGUUGUCAUGGGAAAGUUGUUCGGAAUUUCAGUCAUAUCUGCAAUUAGAGCCGGUCUUCUUCUGGCCCCUGGUGGAGAGUUUGCAUUUGUUGCUUUUGGAGAAGCUGUCAAUCAGGGUAUAAUGUCUCCUCAGCUAUCUUCGUUGCUGUUUCUUGUGGUGGGAAUCUCAAUGGCUAUCACACCUUGGUUAGCUGCUGGUGGCCAGUUAAUUGCAUCCCGGUUUGAGUUGCAUGAUGUUAGAAGUUUAUUGCCGGUUGAAAGUGAGACGGAUGAUUUGCAGGAUCACAUAAUUAUUUGCGGAUUGGACGAGUUGGGCAGGUUUAUACAUUAUCUGAACUUCUUCAGCUUAUGCUCUUUGGACGAGAACAUUUGUGUAGAUAGUCUGUGUCACAGUGUAUGUGGGAGUUUCCAACUUCUUGUCCAUUGUAUAUUUGUUACUUGCAGUGAAAGUGAGGUAGGAAUCUUGAUGAUACUUGUACAGAAUUUUAACACUGUCACUCAAUAAUGACGGAUGAUUUGCAGGAUCACAUAAUUAUUUGCGGAUUUGGACGAGUUGGUCAGGUUUAGAAUGACCUGAACUUCUACAGUUUAUGCUCUUUAGACGAGAACAUCUGUGUAGUCUACACAGUGUAGAUGGUCUUCGCCAUUGAAUAUUUUGUUACUUGUAGAUAAUUGCUCAGCUUCUCUCAGAAAGACUUAUCCCAUUCGUUGCCCUCGAUGUCAGCAGGUGAAGUUACCAACCUCAGAAAUAGCAAACACGAUCAACGAGUUCAGGAACCGUCACCUAUCUGAACUAACGGAGCUAUGUGAAGCAAGCAGAAGCUCGCUGGGGUAUGGUUUUUCGAGGACGACGACGACUAAGCCUAAAACUCAAACGUCGGAUGCAACUGAGGAGAACCAGAUCAUCGAAGGAAGUGGUUCACUCGCCAUCUGAUGUGCCUCUUUCUUCUAAGAACAAACUUUUAAUAUUCUAGUGUUGGCCAUUGAACACAGAUGUCACAUUCAUAUAAGCUACCUGGCUGAUGAUGAUGGUCCUUUUGGAGGGAGUUUUAUUCAAUUAAUUGUUCUCCUUUAAUCAAAAAAAUAUAUAUAUUAGGACACAGUCUCGGUAAUAAAUACAAAAACAUUUGUGUAAGAGUGUGUGUGUGGGGUAUUUACUCCUCUUCUUCUUUGCCCCUUU